CUCGUAGGCGGCCAACUAAGUCAGACGUGAAAUCCCUCGGCUUAACCGGGGAGCUGCGUCUGAUACUGGAUGGCUUGAGUUUGGGAGAGGGAUGCGGAAUUCCAGGUGUAGCGGUGAAAUGCGUAGAUAUCUGGAGGAACACCGGUGGCGAAGGCGGCAUCCUGGACCAACACUGACGCUGAGUGAGCGAAAGCCAGGGGAGCAAACG
rnacentral:rRNA from 1 species